rnacentral:tRNA from 1 species
GGGGGUGUAGCUCAGCUGGGAGAGCGCUUGCUUCGCAUGUAAGAGGUCAGGGGUUCGAUCCCCCUCAUCUCCA